rnacentral:lncRNA from 1 species
CAAGAUGUGGCAAGAAGCAUAUAUUGGUGCAAGAAUAUGUGUAGCCAUUAGGAACAACAGCUAUGAGUCCAUGACUAGCACCAACAAUGCUAGAGUAAGGGUGGAUGAAGAGAAUGGUGGUGGGGCAAGAGGGAAGGGAGAGAUAUAUCACUUUCGCUGCAUGCAAGAAAAGGGUGCCUAAUGAAACACAAAGGCUGACUUGGAGCAAUGCAGCAAGUGGACAUGAAUGAAAAUCAUGUACCGCCAUCUUCUGCACACAUUUUUGAAUUAAAACAAAUAUAUAAUCAUAACACCUACAUUUUAUUUCGUAUCCGUGGCAACGCACGGGCAUUCGACUAGUAGAAGGUACAUUGUGAAUCUACGGCGUCAACCUGCUGGAGUUACUUGUCCUCAGUGAUGAGCAGCUGCUUCCUCCUUGGGCUUGGUCAUCUGGACAGCCAAAAAAACAUGCAACUGUAAGAAGAUGGAUUGAUGGUAAAAAGAGUGAAGAAUUGUGAUUCAGUGAACAGAAAAGCAUAUGUACAUUAUAAUACUGCAGACAAGAAAAUAACGAGCCUAAUAUGAAGAUAAGUGUUUUUCUUAUUGAUGGCUGUAAGAUGGACUGAUGGUAAAAAGAGAGAAGAAUUGUGAUUCAGUGAACAGAAAACAAGACGUUAUUAUUCAGCAGUGAUACUCGAUAUUUGACAAGUAUGGUUUCAUGUAUAUACAAGUUAGGCAGAGUAAUGUAUAAGAUAAAUCGUUUUAUAUAAAGCAUGUCCAACCAAUAUCCAAAAUGCUAUCGAGCAGAGCAUAGAAACAGAGUCCCAAAAAUCUAAUUAUCUGCUGCGGCGACAGCCACGCGGCAAGCCGGCAGCGGCAGGCUGGGGUGAGGGUUGGGGAGGAGGCAAGUGUUCUCAGGUUAUUAACAGGGAAAUUGGGUGAUUAACAUCUCUCCAAAAAGAAAAGGAGAACAACUUAAAAUAUUGAGUGUGGCAGCAACAUCUACUUGUUACUGGAGUCCCAGUUCAAGAUGGCCAGAGGCCACUUGGCACCAUGGAACCUGCACAAUUUCCAUCAUAUAUAUGAAUGAGUUAGGAAGUAAAGUAGAUUUGAACUACCCAGCCUCAUACAUAUAUAUAAAGUGUGCUGCACUGCUGCUACAGAAAGUUUCAUAGGCUUUCAAGUGAAGGGAUACACGUUGUUCAACUGCCGUGUUUAUUUUUUGUUGUUGGGGAAAGCAAUAGCUUAAUCAGUUCACUUCUCUAAUAGUAUGAAUAGCCUAUCACUCAAACAGUCCUUGAGUGCUAAUAUAUUAUUGUAUUGGUAAAAGAAAUAUGUCACCACGAAGAGCUUUAACAAUUAGCACCAUUUUUUAUUAGAGAAGUUCAGAGAGAGAUUUGAAAAAUCUAUAUUAGAGAAAACUUCAGUGCAUACAGAAGUUCUCUCAAGUCUCACUGCAAAUAUCAAGUGCAUACACAAGCUUUGAUUUGAGUGGGAAUGGUAUGAAAGGGGCAUAUAAGGACAAUAUACUCAAGAGUUGCAUAUCUACAUAGAAAUGAUGCUGAUCACAUAAGUAAAUAACAGUGAAUAACAAACAAUCUGCACUUAAGAUCGCGCACACACCAACCAGCACCAAAAAAGUAAAGGGUAAAUAACAAUCUCACACUAUUAUCACUAGUGCACAGUUCUUCAUAGAAGAAACACUGCCUAAUACAGACCUACCUAGGAAAUAAAAACAUUGUAGGAAUAGGUAUAUCCAUAUAUUUUGAAGAUGAACAGCAGCAAAUUGAUAUACUUACACGCACACAUGCAGUUUUAAUUAAUUAAAUGAGCAGGCAAAAAAGGCAAUUGGAAAUCUAGGGGCAGGAGGUAGUGAGAGCAACGCAUGAGGGAUCGUCAAGAUGUAGGGGAUGGAGGUGUAUCACUUGGUUUCAAAAUAAGAUGCACACAAAGACAACCACAUAAAUAUAGCAGUGCAUAGUACUGAGGAAAAUAGGGACAUCUCUUUGCCAACAUGUAUAAUUCGGAGCAGCAAUAGCGAGCAGAGGAAGAUGAGAGGGAGAUGGAGAUGCUACCUGUCAUGGUGGGUCGGCGUGGACGUGCUUGAGCUCGGGGCAGGACCUCUUGGUCGCCCUAGGAGCAGAGCAGCAAACCCCUCAUGGCCCUCCUGCUCGCGAUGCCGUAUAAGCCUGCCACCUAAGAAUAGCAAAAUAUAAGUCUGAACCAGGAUAUGGAUUCAGCAACAUAACCAUCGUCAACAAGCACACUUCCUUUCAUGUAGGUUUAAAAUAUGAAACAAACUCAUGAUUCAGUUAUAUAUGAUAAAACAGAACAUAUGGUUCAGUUAUAGUCAUACCACCUAUACAAAGAUCAGGCAAAGAUAUAUUUUGACCUGAGGACCAGCAUGUCUGCCUCAGCAACUAUCUAAAAUUAUCAAAUAUGCCAACAAUUAUUUAUUGAUGCUUCCCACUAAGCUUCAUUAGCUACAGGUGAAAUGAUGAGAGGUCCGGGAAGAGCUAACACCUCAUAUAAUCAACACACAAUGAUAAUAAUAAUUAAAAGGAUGGGUUAAGUGUGUGUCAGUAGCAACCUCUAGCGACUUGUACCCAAGUGAGAUAUACUGACUUAAUCUCUGUGAUUCUUAGAUCUAGUCCUGCUCAUGUUCUUAUGUAAAUUAGCUCACCAGUGAUGUGGCAAUUUGUUUCACUGCAUGUAACAAGGUCCAGUUGCGCAGCAAGUUUACCGUCCAACCAAACACCCUCUUACAAGCAGAAAUGUAUUCACUUAUGUAACUAAGCGAAGCCGGCAGUCAGGUUGUUGGUCUGGUACUUGUCGAACUAACAAUCUAUGGAUUUUGCAGUCUAAGUGAGAUCACUAUAUACUAAUUGCACACAGUUGCAGCAGCGCCAUCCAACCAACGGAUGAACGAACCGACCCAGUCAGACCAAGUAGGAAAACAAGCAGAUCAGAUGGGAGGGGGCUGGUUACCACCCUGGCGCGCUCGCCCUUCUCCUGGAUGGCAUCAUCCUUGAGCACCCUCUCCAUCUGCCCAACCACAGAGACGGAGAGAAAAAAUGUCAGGAACGCGUCACGCUGAACCAGCCACGGAGAAGAGAACUGACUGGGGGCGGUCGGGCGGGGUACCUCGGGGACGGACGACGGGCCCGACGCAGGGGCGAGGGAGGAGGGACGUCGGGGCGUGGUAGGCGCGGCGUCCCGAGCACGGGAUGGCGUCGGCAGGGAGCAAGCAGGCAACAGUCUGGUGACGCGGCCAGGCAGACGAGACGCGUUGGCGUCCCGUGACGGAGGUCCAUGGCGUGUGCACGCGGGCAGCCCACCUCACUCUGCUGGGCACCUCCGGUGAGGCACAAGCCGGCGUGCUGGAUCUGGGAUCUGGCUGCCGCAUGUGCUGUUGGGCCUGGGUGCUACUGGGGGUAGGGGGAGAAGGGGAGGUGGAGAGGGUGGGGCGUCGGGCGUGUGGGAGGGGAGGGAGCGGAGGCCGGCGGCGAUGCGUAAGGUCGUCGGCGAGUUGGGUGGCGGCGCCGAGGCGGGUGGGUGGGAGGGGAGGAAGGAGUGAACCGGGGAGGCGGUCUGGUUUGGGAAAUCGGCAACGGCGCGCGGGAGGCGUGGAGGGAGGAGGAGCAAGCGGAGCAGGAGGGCGUGGGGGAGGCCAUGGACGGCGGCGAGCUCCGCUGGAGGGAGGUGGCGGCGGCGAUCUCUUUCUCGAUCUGGAGGGAGCUGGAGGAAGGAAGGAGACGAGCUCUCUCUCGAUCUGGACUGGAUGGAUGGAUGGAUUGGGAAAAAAGGAGGCGGGGGGU